rnacentral:rRNA from 1 species
AUAGCGUAUAUUUAAGUUGUUGCAGUUAAAAAGCUCGUAGUCGGAUUUUGGCUGAGAACGGUCGGUCCGCCGUUAGGUGUGCACUGACUGGUCUCAGCUUCCUGGUGAGGAGGUGUGCUUCAUCGCCACUUAGUCACCGUGGUUACUUUGAAAAAAUUAGAGUGUUCAAAGCGGGCUUACGCUUGAAUAUAUUAGCAUGGAAUAACACCAUAGGACUCCUGUCCUAUUUCGUUGGUCUCGGGACGGGAGUAAUGAUUAAGAGGAACAGUUGGGGGCAUUCGUAUUUCAUUGUCAGAGGUGAAAUUCUUGGAUUUAUGAAAGACGAACUUCUGCGAAAGCAUUUGCCAAGGAUGUUUUCAUUGAUCAAGAACGAAAGUUGGGGGCUCGAAGAUGAUUAGAUACCAUCCUAGUCUCAACCAUAAACGAUGCCGACUAGGGAUUGGCGGAUGUUAAUUGAUGACUUCGCCAGCACCUUAUGAGAAAUCAAAGUUUUUGGGUUCCGGGGGGAGUAUGGUCGCAAGGCUGAAACUUAAAGGAAUUGACGGAAGG